UACGUAGGGUGCGAGCGUUAAUCGGAAUUACUGGGCGUAAAGCGUGCGCAGGCGGUUCGUUAAGUUCGUUGUGAAAGCCCCGGGCUCAACCUGGGAACUGCAAUGGAAACUGGCGGGCUUGAGUGUGGCAGAGGGGGGUGGAAUUCCGCGUGUAGCAGUGAAAUGCGUAGAGAUGGGGAGGAACACCGAUGGCGAAGGCAGCCCCCUGGGCCAACACUGACGCUCAGGCACGAAAGCGUGGGGAGCAAACAGG
rnacentral:rRNA from 1 species